UCCUCUUAAGUUCCCUUUUGGAAUCAAAUUAGAUUAGUUGCAUUUAAUUAAAUUAAAUAGUUCAAUUAAAUUAGUUAGAUUUGAGUGACCAUCCGGAAUGGUGUAGAUUUGGUGAUCAGUACGGACACUCCUGAUGAGAAGGGAGAACAUGUAUUGUAGUAACACAAGCCCACCCAAGGGCAGGUGAGCACCAACACCUAACUUCCCUGUAGGCAGGUCUUGUGCAAUAAAUAUGAUUUUGGCACUGGAUUUUUUAUCAUAUCCAUGACUUUUGACAUUGUCAUUUAACACCACGUUCCAUGUAACAGUUUUGUACACAUCGCCCUAGGGUAUAAUUGUGCAUUAGGUUCUCUCUUUACCAUGUCUGACACUUACCUGACUCUUACAAGGAGACAGCUCAUACUUAAAAAUGUUGCCACUUGGGUAAGAAACCCAAACCACCAUACAUGGGUAAAGCUAUGACCUGGGCUCAGAGUGAGUUUUUUUUUGGGCUACAGGCUGCUUAUAGGCAUAACCCUUUUUGCAUGAGGGCAUGUCUGAGAACACUUACCUGACUCUUAAAAGGAGACAGCUAAUACUUGUUCUAUCAUUUGGGACCCUGUUGGACACCGGAUCACACCUAUUUGAUUAGACUUGUUAGCCAUGUAAUUUUCUAUAUAGACAUCGGAGGGCUGCAGCUCUACUACAUGUGCAACACAGUUUCUGUCAUCAUGUGCCAGUCCAGCAACAAGGAAGAUGGGGGUGUCACUUUUUUAUGCUUAGGGAGCAGCCCUCAAAAUGCAGUUCUGAGUAACAGAUCAUUAUAAAAAUCAGGGACACUUCUAAAUAUAAGUGUAUGGGCUGCAUUGAUUGCAAACAUAUUAUAAUUAAAUAUAAUCAGUGCAGCCUGAAUAGCUAUGAGAUUUCCUGAGGUUUCACAUGAUAUAAAAAUAGUAGAGUUCCAAUCCUACAGUUAAUUAUUCCUUUGGUUUUUCCAGCUCAGCUGAAGUAAAUGCUUGUGGUGAUGACUGGCCCCAAAGCUGGCCUGAUGUGGCUUUCACUAUGCUGCCCCCUCACCCCUUUGUGUUACAUUUACAGAGCUUAUCUGCUGACGUUCUGUUUCCCCAAGUCAAAUGGCUGCAUAGUAACCCUACACGGACAGGUAUAAACUUUGUACACACAGGCAUCUUCUUAUCAGCCCAAUGAAUAUUGUUUUGUGAAUUUUAUCCUUCACUGAUAUUGUUUCAGGGGUUGAAGUAAGGGAAGACAAGAGCCAGUUUGCUCAUGUGCAUUAUAGUUCCUAAGGUGUGGCACCUGACAAGCCAGACUAUGUAGGGAAAAUUAGUUCUGUUCCUCAAAUAUGGCUACUGGAUUUUGUAAUAUCCCUUUGCACUGAUUUGUUUUGUUCAUUUUUAAUAGGAUUACUCUUACUUGUGAACGAUGAAGUAUCAGUAUUCUAUUAAACUCUGGUUUUGGGUUUAUAUUAUUACUGAUUUUUUUCCUUUCCCUCCAGCUUUGUGAUGUGUUUUCCAGCGGGUGCACUUAGUAUACAUGACAUGAUAGGGAAUGGUGCAAGAAUAAGCAUUAUACACAGAAUCUCCAGUCUGUUAGCCCAGGGCCUUUUCUUACCCAUCAUCCCAGUAGGACUUAAAAUGCUGAAUAGUCAAAGUCCUGAAAGGCUUCUUCGAUCUCUCUCGCCAUUUCAGCAGGGGGUCCUUUGGGCUGCGUCAGAUUUGCCGGCAGCAUAACUGGCCAUUGGUGCUUUUUGCUUACCUUCCCGAGGAGCAUUUCAUAUACGAUUACACCAAGAGCCCACCAGUCGACGGCUCUUGUAUACUCCUCCUCCAUCACUACUUCCGGUGCCAUAUAAGCGGGACUCCCGACCAUGGUGUUGGUGCGGUCUCCGUAUCCGAUGCCUUGAUUAAAAAGACAAAUUGUAAGUGUUUUUUAUGAAGGUGUUUAGGCCAGAGUAUGCCCUAAAUGAGUCCCCUUUUCUCUGGGUAAAUAUACAAGGCCCUCCUUACCGGUUUUGCCCAUUCCAAAAUCUGCAACUUUUAUGUAUCCAUCUUCGUCCAUUAGGAGAUUUCCCGGUUUUAAAUCUCUGUUUUGAAACAAAAGUAAGAUAUUAUGAUACAUUGAAACUGCUGUAAUAAGCCAAGUACAACAAAUCCUUUAUUCCCUCAGAUGUCCAAUUAGUGGCUUUCAACCUGAAGCUGUCCUGCUACUAAAUUGCACAAGCUACAAACCCCAGGUUGUACUCACUACUAAAGCACUCUGGUUUUGGAAUAUAAUCCUUGGGGCCCUGGAAUAUUUCAUCUUCAUUCACUGGAACAUCGCUAUUGGGAUUGGUUAAUUGAGGCUGUUGUAGCUCAGGGUUGACAGAUUCUGCCUCUUCAGCUUCUUCAGCUGCAGGUAUGAAACCGAAGAACAGCUUUAUAUUUCCAUCUGCCUUACCUCAGUAUGCCGGUGCCGACAUGAGAUGCCACACACUUUGGCGCCCAUCUUGAAACUCCUGUAGAAGAAAAGAAAGGCUGCUUGCAACUGCCUGGUGGAGGAAUCAUUGGUCAUCAAGGUUUCAGAUUUUGGUGUGGCCAGAUAUCACUGCAGAAAUUUCGGCCUGGCACCAGCUUUAUACAAGUUACUUUGUUACUUUUCAGAGCCCCACCCUGAACACAUAAUGCCAUUACAUGGUGUACAUGGUUAGUUUAUUGCAAGGUGAAUAUUGUAUAACCACAUGUAUUUACUGAGUCUCUGAUACAGGGUCAAAUUGGGCCGGCGGGGCACCAGAAAAAAACCCGGUGGGCCCCAGGCUCUUGUGGGCUCCGCCGGGCCCAGGUCCACACCCACAAGUGGCUCUUAAUGGUGCGACCCCCUUUGUCGGAGGUCGUGGAAGAAAACUUUGUGCAUGCACACAGAUGCAGCACUGCAAGGAGGUCCGGAGGGGGCCCUGGGGCAGUAGUCGCGGUGGGCCCCGGGCCCCCCAGUCCGACCCUGGUCUGAUACAUCCAGACACAAAUAAGCACAGUAAGAGAAUGUAAACUUUGCAAUAAACCUGUUUUAUCCCUUUG